GUGAUGGAGGUCCCCGUUACUGAACGGUGAAGACUUCACGUACCGGCUGA
rnacentral:snoRNA from 1 species